rnacentral:snRNA from 1 species
AUACUUACCUGGCAGGGGAGACACCAUGACAGCCAAGGCAGCUUUCCCAGGGCAAGAUUGAUCCAUUGCACUGGGGUCCUGCUGACCCCUGCAAUUUCCCCACAUGGGGGGAACUUGACUGCAUAAUUUGUGUUGGUAGGGGAUUGCAUCCACCCUUUCCCCCA